rnacentral:rRNA from 1 species
AACGAACGCUGGCGGCAUGCCUAACACAUGCAAGUCGAACGAGACCUUCGGGUCUAGUGGCGCACGGGUGCGUAACGCGUGGGAACCUGCCCUUAGGUUCGGAAUAACUCCCCGAAAGGGGUGCUAAUACCGGAUAAUGUCUUCGGACCAAAGAUUUAUCGCCCUUGGAUGGGCCCGCGUUGGAUUAGCUAGUUGGUAGGGUAAAAGCCUACCAAGGCGACGAUCCAUAGCUGGUCUGAGAGGAUGAUCAGCCACACUGGGACUGAGACACGGCCCAGACUCCUACGGGAGGCAGCAGUGGGGAAUAUUGGAAAAUGGGCGAAAGCAUGAUCCAGCAAUGCCGCGUGAGUGAUGAAGGCCUUAGGGUUGUAAAGCUCUUUUACCCGGGAUGAUAAUGACAGUACCGGGAGAAUAAGCUCCGGCUAACUCCGUG